rnacentral:lncRNA from 1 species
UGUGGGUGCUUGGAUCGAACAGAAGGCAGGGGCGACAAAGGGUUUCCUUCAAACCCUAGUUUACACACAAAAUCCUUAAAUUGAAGCCUCAAAUCUGCCCUAAAUCAAGUCUUGAACAUGAAUUAGUGAUCACCUCGUUGUAGGGAUCAAAAAGGUAAAGAAUCUGGGUCGUCAAGUGGACAAGCCGGAGGUGAUACACGCUUAAAGGGUGCGCUUUGAAGGUAAAGAUGCUCUUUAGACCCCGGAGGAUGAUCAAGCCAUGUCAAGAACCGAACACACCGAACAAAGCUUCCGCAUUUUGUCUAUUUUGUUUUAGUAAAGAAUCUGGGUCGUCAAGUGGACAAGCCGGAGGUGAUACACGCUUAAAGGGUAAAGAUGCUCUUUAGACCCCGGAGGAUGAU